rnacentral:rRNA from 1 species
GACGAACGCUGGCGGCGUGCUUAACACAUGCAAGUCGAGCGGAGAGGCGAACGGGUGAGUAACGCGUGAGUAACUGCCCCCCUCUCUGGGAUAACAGUUGGAAACGGCUACUAAUACCGGAUAGUGGGGGGUGACUCGCGUCCUAUCAGCUUGUUGGUGGGGUAGUGGCCUACCAAGGCGACGACGGGUAGCCGGCCUGAGAGGGCGACCGGACCCAUUGGGCUGAGAUACGGCCCAAACGCCUACGGUAGGCAGUAGUGGGGAGUAUUGCACAAUGGCGGAAACCCAGAUGCAGAAAUGCGCGUGCGGAAUGACGGCCUUCGGGUUGUAAACCGCUUUCAGCCAUGACGCGGUAUUUGCAGAAGAAGCACCGGCUAACUACGUGCCAGCAGCCGCGGUAAUAC